rnacentral:misc_RNA from 1 species
GAUCUAACUACAAAGGAAAACCGAUCAGAGUUAUCAAUUUUAACGAAAACUCAUACAUUAGGAAGCUAAGGGAGGAAAACGAGAGAUUGCUAGACGAA